rnacentral:rRNA from 1 species
GACGAACCGUCCUAACGUUGUUCGGAAUCACUGGGCUUAAAGGGCGCGUAGGCGGGCGAGCAAGUCCGGGGUGAAAUCUUUCGGCUUAACCGGAAAAGUGCCUUGGAUACUGCUUGUCUCGAGGGAGGUAGGGGUCGGUGGAACUUCUGGUGGAGCGGUGAAAUGCGUUGAUAUCAGAAGGAACGCCGGUGGCGAAAGCGACCGACUGGACCUCUUCUGACGCUGAGGCGCGAAAGCCAGGGGAGCGAACGGG